CCGUAUCCCUAACCUUGUGACACCUACCAUCGCGCCGCCACUUCCCAUGGAUCGCACCGCCGCUUCCCAUGGAUCGUGACGCCGCUCUGCUCACCACCGUAGUCGUCACUGCCUAUCCCAGCCGUCGUCGCUGCCCACCGCAUCCAGCCGCUGUCGCAUCUCACCGCCUCCACCGCCUCCUCUCUCUUGGACCAGCAUGCUGCGGUGGAUGCUUCCGGUCCCGUUGUGGCAACACGGCUGGUCAAGGGAACACGGUGAGGCGGAUUGUGUCCCAUUCGUUGAUCUGCCCCACUUGCUGCUGCUCCUCUCCCAUCGACCGUCACGUCAACAUUUACUGCGACACACGACGUUCUCCUCUUCUAUAAUGGUGUCUGUUGUGGCCCAACACUCAUCGGACCGCUGAGGCACGGAAGUGCCCGGAGAAGAUCGCUCAACGCUUAGCAAAUUCCACCGUGUUCUGAAUGGCUGCCCGACAAGACGCUCUGCCGGAUGUUCAUCAUCAGCGCCGUCAUGGGUUCAGGCUCCCGUGGAACUCAUGGCAUCAACCAUAUGAACCUGCAUGUAUUUGAUAGUUUGCUUGAUCAGUCUUAUGCCUUGCACUACAGCUAAGGCUACUACGCAACUUCAUUGAGAUUUUUUCUAUAGGACUUGGAUUAAUAAUCCCCAACAAUAUGGUCACGCUUCUUAUAAUUACUUUCAGGUAUAAAUACAUUUGUGAUUUUCUGUAUGUUGUACUACUAAACUGUGUGCUAUACCAAGCAUGACAUCUGCGCCUUUUCUGAUAUGCAUGCAUUUUUCAAGAGAAUUUAUCUAAUAUGUAGUAUAUAGAAAGGUACCUAAAAUGUUAGCUUAUAUUGCCAACUCUUGAAAAUAUACGGGCCUUUUACUUUUUUUGCCAUGAACCAUGGGAUUUCAUGAAUAAUACCCAAUGCAUUGCUUACUGUUGUCCAGUGUACUACAGUUUAGUAUGAAGAACUUGACCUUUGUUUGACAAGAAAAUGUCUGCUAAUUCCUACAUGGACUGACUUUCGAGAACCAAUUUAGGUUGUGAUCAUUAGUGCAUCUUCAAAGCUACUUGACGUAACAUAACGUUUGAUUUUUACUAAUCUGAAAUCAAGCCUAAGCAAUGUUAAGUAGACCUUUGAAUUCUUAAUAAGGAAAUUACACAAUCUGUUCUGUGUGCCGUGGGAUUAGUGUUGUUUGAAGAAGUUUUUCUUCUUACCCAUCAGGUUGAUGAUUUUAACUGUCGAUGCAGACGCUGUGCCGGAUGUUCAUCAUCGGCCCGAGUCAUGGGUUCAUGCUCCUGUGGAACUCAUGGCAUCGACCUUAUGAACCUUCAUGUAUUUGAUAGUUUGCUCGAUCAGUUUUAUGCCUUCCACUACAGCUAAGGCUACUAUGCAGCUUCAUUGAGAUUUUUUCUAUAUGACUUGGAUUAAUAAUCUCCAACAAUACGGUCAUGCUUCUUAUAAUUACUUUCAGGUAUAAAUACAUUUGUGAUUUUCUGUAUGUUGUACUACUAAACUUGUUGGAAAUAUGCCCUAGAGGCAAUAAUAAAAGCAUUAUUAUUAUA